GCGGAGUAGUUUGUAAACAAGUUGUGUGAAUGGAUUGCGUGUCUGCAGCCUGUCUGCCCCUGGCUCCUCACUCACUGCCCUGUACCUCCAGCAAUAGGCAAGGGUCAUGUGAAUAAUACACCGGCUUAUCAGAAAACAGAAGUCUAACAAAGAUGCUUAAGAAAUGUACAGAGGCAUUAUGCUUUGCAGCAAGCCAAGGAGAGGAAAGAGAACUUUUUUGGAAGACACGUUUUCCAUUGGCUGGUUUUGUGUUUUCAUUAAACCAAAAGGACAGACCUAUAUGAGAAGAAAGAUGUAAAGUUUUCACCUGACUCUGUGGAUCUUGUCACUAAUAAAUAUGUUCUGUGGGACACCUUUCUGCAUAGAUGGCUAGAUGGAACGGAUAGACAAGAUGGAGAAGUUUGGACAAUGGGGUAUACUUAAUCAUUUUAUGGAAUUAGAUCACAUGGGAGAAGGUGGUCUGGUAUCAAGGCCCAAAGCCUCAGCCAAGUACAACAUCGUAACAGGCAAAACACAUCUUUGGCUGCACAAAGUUCAUCCCAAGUAAAAGAUUUAACUGAAGAACCGCUGCCAGGGUAUCAAGGAGUCAAGGCUCAAAGCAUUAGUAUGGUAUAAUAUGCAUUAUAUUUGGUUAAAAAAGGUUAAUACCAAGGAAAUGGCCUAAAUCAAGGUCCUCUUCCAGGGUACAAUAUUUUAAAGGUCCAGAGCCUCAGCCAAAAACAGUAACAGGCAAAACUCAUCUACAGGUUCAAGAAGUUCAUACCAAGGAAAAGGCCUAAAUCAACAUCCUCUGCCAGGGUUUGCUGGUAAUAAAGCCCAGAGCCUCACCCAAGGACAAUGGUAUAAUAGGUAAAACUUUUAAAAAGAAAAGGCCUAAAUCAACAUCCUCUGCCAGGGUUUGCUGGUAAUAAAGCCCAGAGCCUCAGCCAAGGACAAUGGUAUAAUGGGUAAAAAAUUAAAAAAGGAAAAGACCUAAAUCAAGAUCUUCUGCAAGGAUCACAUCUCCCCUUCCUCGAACAACGAUUUCAGAAAAUAUGUUUCUGCCCAGGUUGAAUUUCAGCUAAAUUUCAGCCUGCGUGUGGGCAGUGCCACAUGAAUGAAAAAGCUCAGCCAAUUUGGU